rnacentral:siRNA from 1 species
AAACAUCUAGAUGAUGGGCUUAGA